UUUUUGCCUCCAAGCUUCCAAGCUUUCAAGUGCUCAAGUGUCCUAGCUUUCCAAAGCUUCAAAAGCUCUCCAACUUCUUCUUCUAAUCUUCUUGUUCAUCUUUACAAGUAAGAAGUGUUGUUUGCUUUAAUAUUCCACUCCUCUAAUCACCUCUUGUGUGUGUCCACUUUGGUUGAGAGGGUUGUCUCAACAGUACCAAAGUGUGAGAGAAGGUUUGUGAGCUCAACCAUAAAGCUCUAGUUUGGUUUUAUAGAGUUUCCGGGAAAACUCUUAGGUCGAGUCUACCUUGAAAGAUUUCAGAGGUUUUUAAGAGUUCCUUGAUACUCUAAGGUACUAACUUAUCCGCAAAAGUUAGAGGUUCUUAAGAGUGCCCUUGAUACUCUAAGGUGUGAGUCUACCCUUAAAAAACUGGUUCCUAAACGAAGUAGCCUUAAAGCUUAGAGAGGCUUUUAAGAGUUCCUUGAUACUCUAAGGUACUAACUUACCCGCAAAAGUUAGAGAUUCUUAAGAGUGCCCUUGAUACUCUAAGGUGUGAGAAUAUCCGUAAAAGACUGGUUCCUAAACGAAGUAGCCUUAAAGCUUAGAGAGGUUCUUAAGAGUUUCCUUGAUACUCUAAGGUUUUGCCAUAACCUUUAGGCGAGUGAAUUCCGGCAGUUGGUCGGGACUGGACUAACCCUUGUUUGGGUGAACCAGUAUAAAUCUCUUGUGUUGUUCUCUGUUAAUUAUAGUUUUAUCUCUUAUCUAAAAACAACACUUAAUUAAAAAGGAUCCCUCUUCCAGUUAUCUGGUCAAAUACAGAAGUUGACUACUUUACGCAGAUCCCUCAUCCAGUUAUCUGAUCAACCAUCUGAGGUUAUAUUCAUUAUUUUAAAUCCUUAUAUUUGUUCAAGUAUUACUUAUCAUAUAUAUCCAGUUAUCUGAUCAUUUACUUGCUUAUCAAUAUAUCCAGUUAUCUGGUCAUUUACUCUACAAUACAAUUUGUGUUUACAAUAUAACUUAGUAUUCAUAUACUAUAAUUGUGUGUAAAACACUAUCCAACAAGUUGACUCAGUAUUCAUAUACUGUGGUAAGCUUCGAAGAGUAAUAAUUACAUUAUUAUAUCAAUCAAAGUUAUAAUAUCUUUAUAUCAUUAUUGUUCAACCAUUUGUUUAUUAAGCAUUUACAGGUAAUUCCGCAAUCAACCUGUAUAAAUCGAAAAGAGACUAUUAUCCCCCCUUAUAGCCUCGGAUCUCGAUCCAACAAGUGGUAUCAGAGCCAAGUUCCGUUGAAGUCAGACUAACAUCUUACAACAACAACUAUGACUUCAAAUGGUGAAAACAGUACUGGUCUUGCAUCGAACAAACCUCCUAGGUUCGAUGGAGUAAAGUAUGACUUCUGGAAAAACAAGAUGAAGUUAUACUUAAAGUCAAUCAACAAUGGAGUCUAGAAAAUCAUAUUGGAAGAUUAUGAGAUUCCAACAAGCAAAGAAGAGACUUGGGGAGCAAUGAAUAUUCUCAAGGAAAACAACAACUCAAGAGCAUUGAAUGCACUAUAUGGUGCCCUCAAUGAAUCUGAGUAUAGCAGAAUUCGAUGCUUGGAUACAGCUCACAAGGUAUGGAAAGCUUUGGAGGACCUACAUGAAGGAACCUCCCACGUCAAGGAAAACAAGCUACUAAAUGCCACUUCUCAAUUCGAAAGAUUCUCUAUGAGGGAAGAUGAGACUAUCGCGGAAAUGAAUAUUCGACUAUCAGAAAUAGUCAACGAUCUGGCUGGACUAGGAGAUCCAGUAACUGAGAAAAAGCAAGUGAGCAAGAUUCUAAGGAGCCUUCCAAACAAAUACUACUCAAAAAGGAAUGCUAUCCAAGAAUCUUAUGAUCUGAAUAAACUCACAGUGGUAGAACUUUGCGGAAAUCUGAUGGCCUAUGAAGAAGAAAGAUUUAUCUCUAGAGCAAAAGAAGAGAAAAAGGACAUUGAUCUCAAAAGUCAAUCCGAUAACGAAGCAUCUGAUGAUGACUUGGCAAUGAUCACAAAUCAUUUAAAGAGAUAUCUCAUAAAAAGGAAAGAAAAGAGAAAUUCAAAGUUAGACUAUCAGAAUUCCGACAGAAAAGUGAGUAAAAACCACAAAGACUCAAAGGAGCCCAUCUGCUAUUUGUGCGACAAAUCUGGACACAUCAGACCUGAAUGUCCUCUGCUAAAGAAAGAAAAAGCACAUCAAGUACACUAGUCAGAUUCUGAGUCAGAUCAAGAAGACUGCCUUAUGGCUCAUGAGAACGACUCUGAGGUAAACUUUACAAAUACUAGAUUUAAUUCAUUAGAAGAAGCAUAUCUAGAAUUAAUGAAUAAAUAUAAAGCUGAAAAAAAAUUAAGUAAAUCAUUAAGACUAGAAUGCAUGAAUAGAUCACAUAUUGAUCAUUCAAUAGAAUUAGAAGAAUCACAAAAAGAAUGCAUGUUAUUAAAAGAAGAAAAUCAUAAACUCUCAAGUAAAAUAAAAAAGGGAGAUGAAAAAAUUAAAAUACUUAAGAGUCAAAAUUUUGAAUUACUCGAUAUUCUAGAAUCUGAAGAAAAUCAACCUAAGGAAAUAAAUGAUGAUAGGGUUGAAUUGUUAGAAUUAAAAAUAGAUAAUUUUGAGAAAAUCGUUAGAAAUAAAGAAAAAGAAACAAUCAUGCUUAAAACUGAAAUAGAAUUUAAGGAUAAACUCAUACUUGAGCAUGAAGAAACUUUACAAAAAUUAUCUGAAAAACAUAACAGCAUGCAAUUACAAACUGAAAGAAUAAAUGAGAAAAAUAAUGUUCUUCAAAAAUUCUUAAAUAGUUCAUCCAAGUUAAAUAACAUGUUGCAAGGUUCAAACUUGGGUCAAAAGAAAUUUGGCUUAGGGUUUGAGUCAGAUGCACCUAUUAACAAAACCUUAAAUGCCAUAACUUAUAAUGAUCAUUUUGUAAGGGAAUCUAGUUAUACAAAACCUUUACAUGCUUCAAUGUAUAAUGAUUAUUCUAGCUAUACAAAACUCAUUCAUCUUAAGAAAAAGAAAAAUCAUUCUAAGAUGAAUCAUCCAAAACAAAGAUGGAUGACUAAAGAUGAGUUAAGAAGUUAUAAGCAGAUUAAGUAUGUUAAUUCAUCCGGACCCAACUCAGUAUAGGUACCAAAGGAUUUUUCAACUUUUUCAGGAAAAGCAUGUGUCAAAAUGGAUGUUCGACAGCGGAUGCACAAGACACAUGACUGGGGAAUCAAGUCUACUAACAGACUUGGUAGACUUACCUACUAGUAAAAAGGUCAAGUUCGCCGAUAACAACGAAGGUACAAUAGCAGGUAGGGGGUAAUGUAGGAAAUACCGAAAAAUCAUUCUUAAGAAAUGUGUACUUAGUAAUUGGUCUAAAACACAACCUGAUUAGCAUAAGUCAAUUAUGUGAUAUUGGUUGUGUAGUAAAAUUUGAAAAAUAUAAUUGUUUUAUCACUAACUCUGAGGGAGUUAUUAUUGCCAGAGGAUAUAGAAAAAACAAUGCUUAUUCUAUAAAUUUUGAUAAGUCUAAUCCAACUCGUGACUUCUGCAUGCAUGCUGCAAGCGAUGAGAAAGUUUUAUGGCAUAGACGAUUAGGUCACACCAGCUACUCAAAACUAUCUAAAUUAUCUAAAGAAGAAUUAGUAACUGGGUUGCCUAAAAUAGCUUAUGAGAAAAGUAAUAUCUGUGAUAUUUGUCAAAAAGGAAAGCAACACAAAAGCCCGUUUAAAUCCCUCACAGAAAUAACCACUUCUAGACCCUUAGAGCUUCUUCACAUGGACUUAUUUGGGCCAACCCAAACCCAAAGUCUUGGAGGAAAAAGGUUCACCUAUGUAAUCAUUGAUGAUUAUUCUCGCUAUACAUGGGUGUUCUUUCUAAGAAACAAAAGUGAAACCUUUGGUGAAUUCUCUAAAUUUUGUACCCUAGUACAGAAUGAAAAAGGUUCAUCUAUCAUAAAAAUCAGAAGUGGUCGUAGAGGAGAAUUUGAAAACUCUGACUUUAAAGAGUACUGUAUAUCCAAUGGGAUAAAGCAUGAAUUUGCUUUUCCUCAAGCUCCACCUCAAAAUGGAAUAGUAGAAAGAAAAAAUCUUACUCUUCAAGAAAUGAGUAGGUCUAUGUUACAAGAACAUGACUCCCCUCAAUAUCUAUGGGCAGAAGCUAUAAGCACUGCAUGUUACACUCUCAAUAAGGUAAUCAUUAGAAAAACCUUAAACAAAACUCCCUAUGAACUUUGGAAUAACAGAAAACCCAAAGUUUCAUUCUUUAAAGUAUUUGAGAGUAAAUGCUAUGUUCUCACAACAAGGGGAAACCAAGAUAAAUUAGCACAAAAAUCUGAUGAAGGAAUCUUGGUUGGAUACUCAAAAAGGAGCAAGGCAUAUAGAGUCCUUCUCAAAGAAAGACAAACAUUGAUAGAAUCCCUACACGUUGACUUUGAUGAGUCCAUCUCUGUUCCAAACACAGAAGAAGGAGGAAUUGAAGUCACUCAACAAGUACCAUCUGACACUCCUAUAGAAAAAGAUGAUCAAGAAACAAUCAUCUCUGAACUUCUAUCAAAUAGGAAUUUUAGAAACCCAUACUCUGUAGAACAAAUUAUUGGAGAUCAACACACUGGCGUACAGACAAGAUCAUCUACGUAACUAUGUCCUAGAUUGCUUUGUAUCUCAAAUAAAGCUUAAGUAGAUCUAUGUGCAUAUAUAUAUGAACUUAAUAUAAUCUAUCAAAUAUUUAUAUGCGUACUUUUACUAUGAUUAUUCAUAUACUAAGUUCUGUACACACAUAGCUAAAUGCAUGCCUAUCAUAUAUGACAAUCACGUUAAUGCAUUUCAUGCUACUAAAAGUUCCAUGAUCUAAAACAACUAUCUGAUAAAUGCAUGCUUUACAUGCUUGAUUCAUGCAUACAGUCGUCAACUUAUUUAUGAAACUAAUCCUAUACAUGCCUGUUUUACGUAUUACAAAACAUCUGCAUGCUUAAAAUCAUUUGAUAAAUACAUAUAGUAUGCAUGCAAAGUAAAAUGAGUCUACCUACAUAUGAGAUGUACAAUACAUGCAUGAAAACUUCAAAACAACUCAUUACAUGUCACGAUUAUGCAUGCAAGAUUAACACCUGAUUAUAAAAAUAUAAUACAAUCUAUGCAUGAAUAUUCAAAGGAUCGGUGACUCAUGCCAUGUUGCUUGUAUUAUAAAUCUUAUACAUAUACAAAGAUAAGAUUCUCCAACAAACUUUAUCCAAGAAAAACACUAUUCAAGAUAAGAUCAAAGACAAAGCUUGGAUUUAUGUGAGAAAUCAAGGAGCCAUCCAUUGAAGAUCCAAGGGUGGACAUUGAGUGGCCAAGGCUAUAAAUAGAAGGGUAAACCCCUCAUUUUCACUUACCACACUACAAGCAAACUCAAGAGCUUUCACUCCACAUUUGCCCACACGUUUUUGCCUCCAAACUUUCAAGUGCCCAAGUGUCCUAGCUUUCCAAAGCUUCAAAAGCUCUCCAACUUCUUCUUCUAAUCUUCUUGUUCAUCUUUACAAGUAAGAAGUGUUGUUUGUUUUAAUAUUCCACUCCUCUAAUCACCUCUUGUGUGUGUCCACUUUGGUUGAGAGGGUUGUCUCAAUAGUACCAAAGUGUGAAAGAAGGUUUUUGAGCUCAACCAUAAAGCUCUAGUUUGGUUUUAUAGAGUUUCCGGGAAAACUCUUAAGUCGAGUCUACCUUGAAAGAUUUCAGAGGUUUUUAAGAGUUCCUUGAUACUCUAAGGUACUAACUUACCCGCAAAAGUUAGAGGUUCUUAAGAGUGCCCUUGAUACUCUAAGGUGUGAGUCUACCCGUAAAAGACUGGUUCCUAAACAAAGUAGUCUUAAAGCUUAAAGAGGUUUUUAAGAGUUCCUUGAUACUCUAAGGUACUAACUUACCCGCAAAAGUUAGAGGUUCUUAAGAGUGCCCUUGAUACUCUAAGGUGUGAGAAUACCCGUAAAAGACUGGUUCCUAAGCGAAGUAGCCUUAAAGUUUAAAGAGGUUCUUAAGAGUUUCCUUGAUACUCUAAGGUUUUGUCAUAACCUUUAGGCGAGUGAAUUCCAGCAGUUGGUCGAGACUGGACUAGCCAUUGUUUGGGUGAACCAGUAUAAAUCUCUUGUGUUGUUCGUUGUUCUCUGUUAAUUAUAGUUUUAUCUCUUAUCUAAAAACAACACUUAAUUAAAAAGGAUCCCUCUUCCAGUUAUCUGCUCAAGUACAGAGGUUGACUACUUUACGCAGAUCCCUCAUCCAGUUAUCUGGUCAACCAUCUGAAGUUAUAUUCAUUGUUUUAAAUCCUUAUAUUUGUUCAAGUAUUACUUAUCAUAUAUAUCCAAUUAUCUGGUCAUUUAUUUGUUUAUCAAUAUAUCUAGUUAUCUGGUCAUUUACUCUAUAAUAUAAUUUGUGUUUACAAUAUAACUUAGUAUUCAUAUACUAUAGUUGUGUGUAAAAAACUAUCAAGCAAGUUGACUCAGUAUUCAUAUACUGUGGUAAGCUUCGAAGAGUAAUAAUUACAUUAUUAUAUCAAUCAAAGUUAUAAUAUCUUUAUAUCAUUAUUGUUCAACCAUUUGUUUAUUAAGCAUUUACAGGUAAUUCCGCAAUCAACCUGUAUAAAUCGAAAAGAGACUAUUAUCCCCC
rnacentral:lncRNA from 1 species